AGCUCCUUAGCCGAGGUGACAGCAUCCGAAGCACAAAGCAACAUCUUCCAUAGACACAUCUCCCAAGAGAUCUUCUGCACAAAGAUCUUACUUGAAUGAUUGAUAGGACGUUUGUCAUGAGUGUAAAUGUUAAGUCUUGUCACUAGUAGAGGCGGCUCUGCCAAUCAAUAAAUGUAUAACAGGCUAGGUGCGGCUGAUCA
rnacentral:lncRNA from 1 species